rnacentral:rRNA from 1 species
AGCAGGCGCGAAAACUUCACACUGCAGGAAACUGUGAUGAGGGAACUCCAAGUGACUGCACAAUGUGUAGCCUUUUCUUGAAUUUUAAUAGUUCUUGGAAUAAGGGCUGGGAAAGACCGGUGCCAGCCGCCGCGGUAAUACCGGCAGCUCGAGUGGUCGUCGCUUUUAUUGGGCCUAAAACGUCCGUAGCCUGUUUGGUAAAUCUGUGGGUAAAUCAACGAGCUUAACUCGUUGAAUUCUGCAGAGACUGCCAGACUAGGGACCGGGAGAGGUAUGAGGUACUCUGGGGGUAGGGGUAAAAUCCUGUCAUCCUCAGAGGACCACCUGUUGCGAAGGCGUCAUACUGGAACGGAUCCGACGGUCAGGGACGAAGCCUAGGGGCACGAACCGGAUUAGAUACCCGGGUAGUCCUAGGUGUAAACGCUGUGGAUUUGGUGUGUGGGGUCCGCAAUGGGCCCCAUGUGCCGGAGUGAAGAUGUUAAAUCCACUGCCUGGGGAGUACGGUCGCAAGGCUGAAACUUAAAGGAAUUGGCGGGGGAGCACCGCAACCUGAGGAGCGUGCGGUUUAAUUGGAUUCAACGCCGGAAAACUCACCAAGGCCGACUGUUAGAUGAAGAUCAGCGUAACGAGCUUAUCGGAUUAUCAGAGAGGUGGUGCAUGGCCGUCGUCAGUUCGUACUGUAAAGCGUUCUGUUAAGUCAGAUAACGAACGAGACCC